AGAGUUUGAUUCUGGCUCAGAAUGAACGCUGGCGGCGUGGAUAAGACAUGCAAGUCGAACGGAAAUAUGAUUAGUUUACUAAGAUUAUUUUAGUGGCGGACGGGUUAGUAACACGUGAGCAACUUACCUCAAAGUGGGGGAUAGCCUUCCGAAAGGAAGAUUAAUACCGCAUGUGGUCUCCGGACCAAAGACUGCUUCGGCAGUCGCUUUGAGAUAGGCUCGCGUCCUAUCAGUUAGUUGGUGAGGUAAUGGCUCACCAAGACUACGACGGGUAGCUGUUCUGAGAGGAAGAUCAGCAACACUGGAACUGAGACACGGUCCAGACACCUACGGGUGGCAGCAGUCGAGAAUAAUUCACAAUGGACGAAAGUCUGAUGGUGCAACGCCGCGUGGAGGAUGAAGGCCCUAGGGUCGUAAACUCCUGUCAUUUGAGAGUAAGACCUGGCGGUUAAUAGCCGACAGGGUUGAUAGUAUCAAAAGAGGAAGGGACGGCUAACUUCGUGCCAGCAGCCGCGGUAAUACGAAGGUCCCGAGCGUUGUUCGGAAUCACUGGGCGUAAAGGGAGCGUAGGCGGUUAGGUAAGUCAGAUGUGAAAUCCCAGGGCUCAACCCUGGAACUGCAUCCGAUACUGCCUGACUUGAGUAAUGGAGGGGUAACUGGAAUUCUCGGUGUAGCAGUGAAAUGCGUAGAUAUCGAGAGGAACACUCGUGGCGAAGGCGAGUUACUGGACAUUUACUGACGCUGAGAUACGAAGGCUAGGGUAGCGAAAGGGAUUAGAUACCCCUGUAGUCCUAGCAGUAAACGGUGUGCGCUUGGUG
rnacentral:rRNA from 1 species